AUGGGGGACCCAAGCGCAGGAGAAGGAACAAGAGAGGCCACAAGCACAGGAAGUGUCACAAGAAGGGGAAGGACUGUCAUGGGAUUUGACAGCGAGUCAUCCAGCAGCUCCUGCAGCAGCAGCAGCGACUCAGACUAGAUGAAGCCCGGUUGAAGGGAGCAGAACCAGAACACCUGGACGCCUUCCUUCAUCUGCUGACCUUUUUCUUCAUUUUGUCCUAAAAGCCCAUAACAUGUUCUUGGUCCAAAAUCUGUAAAACAUUCAUUUUAUCUGAUUGUGUAUGACCUUGGAUUAAACGAGAGAUUCAAAAUUGUGUUUCUUCUUUGACUCCCUAAAUAUCCGAGCAAAAGAAGUUAAUUUUUUUUAAAUUUUAUUGGGUGAAUUGACGUGAUAAGUUGUGGGUGUGGUUCUUACUUCGACCACUAGAUGGACAUAAAGAGGCGCGUGUUUUAAAGAGUGUUGACCAGAAUCCAUCAGCGAUCAGACAUAAAUCGGAAUAAAUCUGAUCAGAUUAUGUGAUUCUGCCUGGAUGAAAUGUUGGCUGACAGGUUUGUCCA
rnacentral:lncRNA from 1 species